GUUCCAUCCCCUCCAGCCCCACGCCCCAUCCCCUCCCUGCAUCUCCGCCGCCGCCCCCAUAUCCACCGCACUAGGGCUCGCCCGUCCGCGCCGGCGACGCGCCUCCACCAUCCGGUCAUCCCAUCCUGGCUCCCCCGGCGUCGGACAUCGGCCGCGUCUACUCCUCCACCGCUCCCUGCCCGCCCCCAAGAAGCCCCGCAGCUCUGCGUCCGCCGCCGCGGAUGGCAAGCCUCCCGUGAUCGUCUACUACCGCCGUCGCCGCAAGAAGCCGCCGCUCGAGGAGCCACGGCCGUCCUCGCUGGCGCCGCGGCAGCUGGAGGAGAAGGCGCUGGGCAGGGUCUCGUGGCGGAAGCGCCCGCUCAAGCACGAGCUGCUCAGCCUGGGGUCUGCCCCGCCUGCAUUGGGCGCUGUUAGAGACGGGGAGGAGCUUCUGGGGCGAUGGCAGCCGAGGCGCAGAGGGGGAAUGUAGAAGGAGAGCACUUCAGCGCCCCAGAGGCGGCGGCGCCGCAGCAGCCAGCUGGAGGCGGCCUCUCCAUCUGAGAGGAGAUGGGUAGAGUAAGUUGGAUCUGUGCUUGCUUCACAAUGAAACUAUCCUCACGGCUUCAGCAACAAGGAACGACCAGCUAGAAUACUUGUUCUCCGUGUAAUUUUGAAGCUGGCUUUGUCGCAAGUUGGAACUCAGGGUGCCAAUCCGCAGAUGUUUGUCGGUUUAGUGUGCAAGGUUUUCUGGCUCCAAGAUGAUGAUUGGCACAAGGGUUCCAUCACGGCCUACAUGGAACUAACCAAGAAUUCUGUGAAGUAUGAAGACCUUACCCUAGCUAAUGAAAGGAUUAAAUUUUCCAUUUCAUCCGAGGAAAUGAAGUGCCUGAACUUGAAAUUUGGAACAUCUAACCUGGAUAAGAAGGGAUGCGAUGAGCUACUUGCACUUGUUGUCAGCUUUCAUGACUACCAAGGUCUUGAUCCAGAUGAUGUAGUGUGGGCUAAAAUAACAGAUUCUCUAAACACAUGCUCCACAACACAAUGAUGAGGAGCCUCCAGAGUACAUCAUCCCUGGUACCCGUGGUAUGGGCUAUGGUCUAUGGAGGCGUAUUGUUCGGUUAAGUUGAGUAGGGACUACUCAACUUGUUUCAUUGUCAUGUUAAGCUAGGAAAGUCUAUGUGGAUACAGUUGUAUGGAAAUAGGGGAUUUACUUCUGGAGUUGUGGGUAGUAGUGGUCUUGUAUGCACUCUUGCUUGCUCCAUAAUUUCCCCCCAUGGACAUCCUCCAAUCUGAAAUAUUUAUCUUACCAAUUUGAUGUUGGUUCACAUGCAGUUUCAGGUUCAAAGAGUAGCGCCAUGCAUGAGGAUUGUUGGUGAUCUUUUUAUUGCGACAUAACGCGUUCAAGUUACAUGAUAUAUGGUCAUUCUCUAAAGGAGUCGGGUAGGGGGCUCACACGUUUUUUCCAUUAGUAUGCUUGAUGCUUUUGGCGUGUUGUUUUGCUGACCUUAUCACGUCAAUCAAUACUAGAAAAUCUGAAUGCAAUGAAGAAGUUUAGGGACUGGUACCUGGACUCGUUACACGAUAUCCGGUAUUUUCCAGAAGUGGGGAAUCGGCGUGACGAGCUUGUUUUCACGCAGAUGGGUAAUAUGAUCGAAGUGUGGCACAAUAAUGUGGUUCCGACUAUGCUUUUGGAGUGCAACAGCUGAAAAAUUAACAUCUCAGCUCAAGGAAGCUUCCCCCAGGAUUACAUGUCAAGGAUUGGUAUUCAGUUAUUCACAUGCUGGUAUGUUUGUGAACAUGGCCAACAUAAUGUGGAACAAUUGUUACAAGAGAUCUUGAUCGCUUGUCAUUGUUUCUCCUGUACGAUGUAUACAUAUGUAUACAAGUUGCAAUUAAUUGGUGAGAUACCUGAAAUGCAAAUAUAUAUCAAGGAAAAGGCUUCUUGUACUGUCCCUCGCUGGUGUUGGGAGAAAUUACAUCAAUGUCGGCGAGUUCGAAGGGCGCCAUCACUGCUCCACGACCGUCUGCUUGGGUACUUAUCCCCUGGAGCCUGGACAUGAUGCCAGGGCUGCAGUCGAUCACGUCGUCAAACAGGCAGAUUGCUGAAAUGAGGACCAAGGAGCAUGUCCAUUGUUACAUGUUUUGAUUCUUCAUGUUUCUUUCUGAAUUUAUUCAUAAGUUGAUGAAAGCUUUUUGUAUUGUUGCAGCCUGGUCAUAACUAGAUUAUGUAAUGGCCAGUCCUGAUUGAAGCAAUUCUCUUACAAGUGUGUUGAAUAAAUAACUCUUCUUUUGUAGAAAUGCAAAGAUUUUUGUUUUA